GAGAAAGCUUGCUUUCUUUGCUGACGAGUGGCGGACGGGUGAGUAAUGCUUGGGAAUCUGGCUUAUGGAGGGGGAUAACUACGGGAAACUGUAGCUAAUACCGCGUAAUAUCUUCGGAUUAAAGGGUGGGACCGUAAGGCCACCUGCCAUAAGAUGAGCCCAAGUGGGAUUAGGUAGUUGGUGGGGUAAAGGCCUACCAAGCCGACGAUCUCUAGCUGGUCUGAGAGGAUGACCAGCCACACUGGAACUGAGACACGGUCCAGACUCCUACGGGAGGCAGCAGUGGGGAAUAU
rnacentral:rRNA from 1 species